rnacentral:lncRNA from 1 species
GAGAGUGUGUUUAUUUGAACAUAUGUGUGUUUGUAGUAAAGCCUAUAUUCAGACACAGACAAAGCGUUGUAUAAACAGGCUCAUUUAUCAUUUACUUUCACAGACUUUCAAACAAUUUGCAUAACUGACAACCGAAGUUCCUCCAUGCCAGUAAAUUUCACUUUAUUUGUAACAAAAGUGCAAUGAAAGGAAUGUUAUUUUUUUGUUUUGUAAUUUUGUUGAUCAGACUACGUAUGUAACAGAACGGUUGACUACCCUUCAGACCAAGAGGUAAUAACACCGUGAAGACAAUGUCCAGGGGCUGUGUCUCUCCGAGUAGAACUGCUGAUGUAGGAUCAGUUUUGCCCUUUAAAUCACGUUGAAUACAAGUAUAUGGACAGGGGGAACUGAUCCUAGAUCAGCACCACUGCUCUGAUCCGCUUUAUACACAAAGCUCCCUAGGAAGGCAACAAAUAGUCUAUAGCUCAUUGCUCUGGCCAGCUAGCCUCCCCGAGGUGUUAACUGAGGUGUAUUCAAUAGGAACCAAACGGAAGCAAACAGCUGAAACGGGGUGGACCUAACCUGAACUUGUCCAAUAACAAAUGUUUGUUUUUCGUUGCAAAACACUUUGCUAUGGUGUGCACUAAUGAAUACACCCCAAGGGCUCCAAGCUACAGCUAGCAUAUUUCCCUUCCCAGUGAUGUGUGAUCCUAAAACGUCAGCACUCCUACUCUGAUAUGCUUGACACACAUGGCCCCAGAGCUCCCCAGGAAGGCAGUAGAAUAGGCUAACCGUAGCUCUGGCUCACUGGUUCCCUGUAGAAGUGCUGCCUGGGCUCCAAGCUACAGCUAUAGUCGAAGGCCUCCCCAGUAGUCCCAUGAGCCUCUGUACCAGUGCCUGUCUAGAUGGUAUCUAGUUGGUCACAUGGCCUGUGAUCCAGUUAUAAGCCUAUAGCUGCACAACAUUGUACAAAAACUCAAUUCAAUUCUAUGUGUAAUGGUUUUUACAUGUGAUGCUGGUCAAAUUUUAACGUUUGUUUUUGGCUAUUGCUGUAAUUUAGCCUCAUAAUAAAUAUAUUUCUUAAACUCUGUGUAGAAAUACAU